rnacentral:rRNA from 1 species
GACAGAGGGUGCAAGCGUUGUUCGGAAUUACUGGGCGUAAAGGGCGUGUAGGCGGUGGAGUGUGUCUGGUGUGAAAGCCCUCGGCUUAACCGGGGAAAUGCAUUGGAAACUACUCUGCUGGAGUGCGAGAGAGGAAGGCGGAAUUCCCAGUGUAGAGGUGAAAUUCGUAGAUACUGGGAGGAACACCGGAGGCGAAGGCGGCCUUCUGGCUCGUAACUGACGCUGAGACGCGAAAGCGUGGGUAGCAAACAGG